rnacentral:RNase_P_RNA from 1 species
GGGCGACCUCAGGGCAAGUGCAACAGAGAUAUACUGCUUCGUAUUUAUACGGAGUGAUGGUGGAAAGGCGAGGUAAGAGCUCACCGGAGUGCAGGAGACUGUACUGCCAUGUAAACCCUACCCGAUGCAACGUCUAUUGGUGCUUCAUAUCUUAACGUCUGCUCGGCGGAUGUGAAGUAAUGACGGCUUGAACCUGUCGGCAACGGCAGGUGUAGAUAAAUUGCUGUACACGACAGAACCCGGCUUAUCGGUCUGGUCAUAUU